rnacentral:rRNA from 1 species
UAGCGGCAGGCUUAAUACAUGCAAGUCGAACGGGAUUCGGGGUAGCAAUACUUUGAUGAGAGUGGCGCACGGGUGCGUAACGCGUAUGCAACCUACCUUUAACAGGGGAAUAGCCCCGAGAAAUCGGGAUUAAUACUCCGUAACAUUGCGGUGUGGCAUCACACUGCAAUUAAAGAUUUAUCGGUUAAAGAUGGGCAUGCGUGACAUUAGCUAGUUGGUGAGGUAACGGCUCACCAAGGCAACGAUGUCUAGGGGUCCUGAGAGGGUUAUCCCCCACACUGGUACUGAGACACGGACCACACUCCUACGGGAGGCAGCAGUAAGGAAUAUUGGUCAAUGGGCGCAAGCCUGAACCAGCCAUGCCGCGUGCAGGAAGACGGCCCUAUGGGUUGUAAACUGCUUUUAUCAGGGAAUAAACCCCCGCUCGUGAGCGGGGCUGAAGGUACCUGAAGAAUAAGCAUCGGCUAACUCCGUGCCAGCAGCCGCGGUAAUACGGAGGAUGCAAGCGUUAUCCGGAUUCAUUGGGUUUAAAGGGUGCGCAGGCGGAUUGGUAAGUCAGGGGUGAAAUCCCACAGCUCAACUGUGGAACUGCCUUUGAUACUGUCAGUCUUAGAGUAUAGUUGAAGUUGGCGGAAUGUGUCAUGUAGCGGUGAAAUGCUUAUAUAUGGACACAGAACACCGAUCGCGAAGGCUGCUAGCUAAGCUAUAACUGACGCUCAUGCACGAAAGCGUGGGGAUCAAACAGGAUUAGAUACCCUGGUAGUCCACGCUGUAACGAUGAUUACUCGAUG